GACGAACCGUGCGAACGUUAUUCGGAAUCACUGGGCUUAAAGCGCGUGUAGGCGGGACGGCACGUCGGUCGUUGAAAGCCCCCGGCUCAACCGGGGAAGUGGUGCCGAUACGACCGUCCUGGAGGGACGUAGGGGGACCUGGAACUUCCGGUGGAGCGGUGAAAUGCGUUGAGAUCGGAAGGAACGCCCGUGGCGAAAGCGAGGUCCUGGACGUUUUCUGACGCUGAGACGCGAAAGCCAGGGGAGCGAACGGG
rnacentral:rRNA from 1 species